UACGGGGGGGGCAAGCGUUGUCCGGAAUUAUUGGGCGUAAAGAGCUUGUAGGCGGUCUGUCGCGUCUGCUGUGAAAAUCCGGGGCUCAACCCCGGACUUGCAGUGGAUACGGGCAGACUAGAGGCAGGUAGGGGAGAAUGGAAUUCCCGGUGUAGCGGUGAAAUGCGUAGAUAUCUGGAGGAACACCGGUGGCGAAAGCGCGAUACUGGGCCAUAACUGACGCUGAGGAACGAAAGCCAGGGGAGCAAAAGGG
rnacentral:rRNA from 1 species